AGUGAACGCUGGCGGUAGGCCUAACACAUGCAAGUCGAACGGCAGCACAGUAAGAGCUUGCUCUUACGGGUGGCGAGUGGCGGACGGGUGAGGAAUACAUCGGAAUCUACUUUUUCGUGGGGGAUAACGUAGGGAAACUUACGCUAAUACCGCAUACGACCUACGGGUGAAAGCAGGGGAUCUUCGGACCUUGCGCGAUUGAAUGAGCCGAUGUCGGAUUAGCUAGUUGGCGGGGUAAAGGCCCACCAAGGCGACGAUCCGUAGCUGGUCUGAGAGGAUGAUCAGCCACACUGGGACUGAGACACGGUCCAGAAUCCUACGGGAGGCAGCAGUGGGGAAUAUUGGGCAAUGGGCGCAAGCCUGAUCCAGCCAGACCGCGUGGGUGAAGAAGGCCUUCGGGUUGUAAAGCCCUUUUGUUGGGGAAGAAAAGCAGCAGGUUAAUACCCCGCUGUUCUGACGGUACCCAAAGAAUAAGCACCGGCUAACUUCGUGC
rnacentral:rRNA from 1 species